UACAGAGGCCUCGAGCGUUAGGCGGAAUCACUGGGCUUAAAGCGCGUGUAGGCGGCUCGGUAAGUCUGCUGUGAAAGUCCAAGGCUCAACCUUGGAAAGCCGGUGGAUACUGUCGAGCUCGAGUCCGGAAGAGGCGAGUGGAAUUCCUGGUGUAGCGGUGAAAUGCGCAGAUAUCAGGAGGAACACCGGCGGCGAAGGCGGCCCUCUGGAUCGUUGCUGACGCUGAGACGCGAAAGCGUGGGGAGCAAACAGG
rnacentral:rRNA from 1 species